rnacentral:rRNA from 1 species
UGGCAGACGGGUGAGUAACACGUGGGAACCUUCCUAGAGGUACGGAACAACGCAGGGAAACUUGCGCUAAUACCGUAUGUGCUCUUGCGAGGAAGGAUUUAUCGCCUUUAGACGGGCCCGCGUCGGAUUAGCUAGUUGGUGGCGUAACGGCCUACCAAGGCAACGAUCCGUAGCUGAUCUGAGAGGAUGAUCAGCCACACUGGAACUGAGACACGGUCCAG